rnacentral:piRNA from 1 species
UCCUCUGCUACAUAUGCAACUGGAACCAUGG